ACGUUGACUGCGGAAACUCCAAAUCGUCAAAUCCUCCUGAUGGUAGAGUAAGGUUAUUUCAAUACCCCCUUUCCCUUAUUUUCAAUUCAGCAAUUGAACGUGCAUCUCUACUAACUAGUGUAACUCCUGAAACCAGUAAUUAAUAGGCAAAAUGAAAUACUUUUCACUCUUUCUUCUUUUGGUGCUGCCAGCAAUCGUUUGCAUCUUUGAGAGAGAAAAUGGAGUCUUCGUCAGGGCAGUGGAUGAAGAUGACGAUAGCUUGGUCGAUGUUGAAGGAGAGGAACAAGAAACUUCUGUGACAGAUGAAGGAGGCGAGGAAGCCGUCAAAUCUGCGAGUGGAGCCGCAACGAAUGCAGAUACAACUGUCUUAUUCACAAAACCAGUGACGCCUGUUGGCACUUCUCUAGAUUUGCCAGCUGGCCAAAUAGCUGAAUUCUUAGUUGGAUUCUCUAACAAAGGUAAUGACGAUUUUGUAUUGGAAACUCUUGAUGCCUCAUUCAGAUACCCAAUGGAUUUCAGCUUUUACAUCCAGAACUUCACAACGAUUGCAUACAACAAACGAGUAAAGCCUCACCAUGAAGCCACACUUGCUUACUCCUUUAUCCCAGCCGAAGCCUUUGCUGGUCGUCCAUUUGGUCUGAGUAUCAAUCUACGCUACCGAGAUGCUGCUGGAGAGCAAUACUACGAAGGAAUUUACAAUGAAACAGUAAACAUAGUGGAAAUCGAUGAAGGUCUCGAUGGAGAAACGUUCUUCUUAUAUGUCUUCCUUGGUGGUUGUGUUGUUCUACUGUUAGUUGUAGGCCAACAGCUAUUAUACUCAAUUGGCAAAAGACGCCGAAUUGGAGGUUCUUCGAAAAAGCAAACUGUAGAAUUAGGAACGAAAAAUGAUGAUGUGGACUAUGAAUGGAUCCCUAAGGAAACACUUGCACAUUUGAACCAAUCUCCAAAAACACCAAAGCAAAGUCCUCGACAGAGGAAACCUAAAAAGUCACCUGGAAAAAAUGAAAUAUAAUUGUUCCUUCUUACAAUGCCAACUUAAACUGUCUUCUGUUGAAGAUUUAUUAGAAUUUAAAAAAGGACAUCCGCAGCUCAAUCUGGAAUUCUUCAAAAAGUUCGAAAUAAGUCAAGAUUUUGUUUGAAGAUGUGGAGAGACAACACACAAUGCACAACCAUCGAAUGACGAUUUCCUCACUCGAGCCUUCCUUUUUUUCUUGUCAGUCAAAUUUCGUUUUGUGUUGUUAAUGAUUUUGCUGCUACUUCAGGGAUCUUAUCCAAUUAGCAGAGCUAUCAGGGAUUUUAGGAAGCUCUCUUAACGGACAUUUUCAGUGGGCUCUUCAGCAGAAUGUUUCGGAAAAAUCCAAUUACCUCUCUCAGAUCUUAGCUGUCGCAAGUUUUUUUAAUUUAAAAGAAUGAAGCACAAAAAUUGUAAGAUAUCCAACCCCCUGACACAUUGAAAUUUUGUGAGCAAUAGUUAGGCUAAGCUGCCAACUUGUAGGAUAUUUUGUGAAAAUUACAUAUCAACAAAUGAACAAAGAGAGUUUAAAUCAGGGACGGGCGGAUAUUGAAAAAGUGAUGGAAAAUAUCAACCCAUCUGUACUUAAACCGGCUCGUUUUAAUUGUUUUUUGUUUUUGAGACAAACUGGUCCAAAAUUACUCCAAGUAUCGUAUCAACCAGCCCACUGGGAUUUUUUGCAGUGUCCCAGCCUACCUAUCUGCCCCUGCUUCUGAUAUGCCCUAAAUGAUGCUUCUUGAUCACACAUUUUUUUUUUCUUCUUAUUAAAUCUUGUCUUUCAUUGCGUAUUCCAUUGACGCAGUUUUUAACUUGUAGAUUUUAAGUCCCAAGUCUUAAUUAUAAAAUCCACUCAAUACUCCAAACUCGCUCAACUUUAGACAUAUUUUCUUGAAGCAUGAAAUUGACAAAAUCCCAAAUAAUUCCAGCAAGGAAAGUGAAGAUAAGUACUAAUUAAUCUCCCAGCUGGUGAAAGUGAAUGUGAUAGAAUCUACAUCUAUUCUUUGUUUAAGACCUUAUUCCAGGCCAAAGCUUGCCUCAUUUCAUGGAUUUUGGUUGGUUUCUUGGGAUUGUGGAUUGCAAAAGCUUAAAAAUGAUUCAUUGUAAUGAGGGAAGCAUGCAAAGAAUUAAAUCUGAGUUUCCUUGUUUUUUGUUUUUUCCGAAUCACUCUACUCUUUAGCCAGCUAAUAUUGAUUUUCACUGCUUUAACCAAACGAAUUCUUUAUUAUUUUGUCCAAAAGUAAGUAAGAUAAGUUUUUUAAAUCCGAUCAAAUUUUCUCCCCCCAAGACAAUACCUGAACAUCUCUUUGCCUCAUACAUAUAUAACUAGCCCACAACAUUUGAUUCCUUCAAUUUUUUCCCUCCAAAGUGUAUUUAUCAAUGAAGUAUGUAUGUGUUCAUGCAUAUCCCCCUAACACCAGAGAUUUUCUUUUGAUGACUCAAUUUUUGUACCCUUUUUUUUUACUGUAAUUUUGUAAAGUUUUGAUCAGGAACUUAAGUCAGUUUUAAAGGCCAGCUUGAAGAACAUCUUGGCUGAUAAGACGUCACCAAGUAGGAAGGAUUUAUCUGAAAUUUUUUUUUUCAUAAAAAGUAUCCUUACUAAAAUAUUCUAUUCAACUUAAUGUUGUCCUUUAAAACCCUCUAUGUAGAAUGGAUCAAAUCUACGUAGUGAUUGCUGAUUUUAACUCUGCUAGUACUAGUUACCUGUUACGGUUUUUAUUAUGUACUCAAUUCUUCAUCCCAAAUAAGUGCAUUUCAGAUGCACUGUGACAUCAGCCAAAAGAGACAGUAGAACUGCAAGCCAAAGUUUGCAGAGCUCCUGUUCUAGCAAGUCUGAAAAGCUGGUUCUCAGUUCCUCGUUUAGGUGUUUCAAAUUAUAAAUAUUGUAAAUAAAAGCAGUGUAAUUCAUAAGUCCAAAGUUCAAUUACGUUAGAUUGUUUUUGUGUACUAUCAUCGUGUAAAUUAAGACAAAUAAUUUCAUAAAUUAAAUUAGUCUGUUCCAAUUUUUUUUAUAA